CCUGGUGGCUCAGUUGGUAAAGAAUCUGCCUGUAAUGCAGGAGACCCGGGUUCAAUCCCUGGGUCAGGA
rnacentral:tRNA from 1 species